rnacentral:rRNA from 1 species
GACGAACGCUGGCGGCGUGCCUAAAACAUGCAAGUCGAACGAGGGUAGUAAUACCUUAGUGGCGAACGGCGGAGUAAUACAUAAGCAACGUGCCCCGAAGACUGGGAUAUACAGCCGAAAGGCUGGGCAAUACCGGAUGUGACGGAAGGAUGGCAUCAUCUUUCCAUUAAACAGUUUUUGCUCGGGAGCGGCUUAUGGCCUAUCAGGUAGUUGGUGAGGUAAUGGCUCACCAAGCCGACGACGGGUAGCGGGUCUGAGAGGAUGGUCCGCUCGAGUGGGACGUGAGACACGGCCCA